AUUGAACGCUGGCGGCAUGCCUUACACAUGCAAGUCGAACGGCAGCACGGGGCAACCUGGUGGCGAGUGGCGAACGGGUGAGUAAUGCAUCGGAACGUACCUUUCAGUGGGGGAUAACGUAGCGAAAGUUACGCUAAUACCACAUAUUCUGUGUUCAGGAAAGCAGGGGAGCGCAAGACCUUGCGCUGAUUGAGCGGCCGACGUCAGAUUAGCUAGUUGGUGAGGUAAAGGCUCACCAAGGCGACGAUCUGUAGCGGGUCUGAGAGGAUGAUCCGCCACACUGGAACUGAGACACGGUCCAGACUCCUACGGGAGGCAGCAGUGGGGAAUUUUGGACAAUGGGGGCAACCCUGAUCCAGCCAUGCCGCGUGAGUGAAGAAGGCCUUCGGGUUGUAAAGCUCUUUCGGCCGGGAAGAAAUCGCACGGGCUAAUACCCUGUGUGGAUGACGGUACCGGAAUAAGAAGCACCGGCUAACUACGCGCCAGCCGCCGCGGUAACAC
rnacentral:rRNA from 1 species